rnacentral:lncRNA from 1 species
GUGUGGGGACGGCGGGGGCCGGUGGGGACGGCGCCGGAGAUGGGUCUCGUCCUAGGGGUGAAGGAUUCAAGGGUGUUGAUGCUUCCCUGAGGUCGACGGCCGAGAGGGUGGCGGUUAGGUGGAGAGAAGAGGUUGAGAGGGAUAUGCUGCAGGAUUUUCGGUGGCCGUGGGUGCUUGCCGGCGGCCGUGGGUUCUUGCCGGCAGUUGGGGUGUGCGCACGGGCAGGGCAAGGAGGAGCUAAGGUCGGUUAGGGUGGACUAGGGCUAGGUGGGGCGGAUUAGGGUUAGGGUUCCAUAGGAGAAACCCUAAUUCCACUUUUAUACAAAGUGUAUAAUUGCAUAAAAGUCCUCCAUAGUCCUAUAUUUUCAGCUAGGUCCCCUGCCAGCACGUAUAUUAUGCACUCAAGUCCCUCGACGUUCGACUUUGCGCAAAACGGCGCAUAAAAUAUUAGGGUUUUCGCGAUUUUUCUGUUUUGCCAAUUUUGACCUCUCAGCGGACUUUUCACGAUUCUCGAAGAUCCGUCAGUCGGAUUUUCGAACGGAUCCAGCCAGCGCAUUCAGCACGACUGGGGCAUCGAAUCUAGCAUUUCAUUUUGUCCGAUUCGGUCGCCGAUUAGCGACAAAACCAACCCUCUCCAAUCUCCAAAAACCAUACCUAUACAUAUAGAUCCAAUAAAACUCUUUUUCUCGAAAACCGUGCAUCAGAACCCAAAUCCGUCAGUGCCAUUAUGUCCAGGAUAGUCGAACCAUCGAAAACAAGCUAUUGGAUCACUAUGA